CAAUGUUUUUAUUCAUUUUCCAUUAUGCGAUUUGGUUGCAGUUUUUGAUUUAUAUUCGUUUCAGUUGCCUCAUAGAAUUAGUUUUUUUUACAGUGUUCAGAGUUGACAGAAAAAAACUUAACUUUAAACUAUGGAAUUCAACAUUAAGAAAAUACGUAUGUUUUUCACAGAUGCUGUAGUCCAGUACAUCAAUGGCAAAAAGGGAACAUUUCCUCGGUUGAAAAUCGGUGGACAUUAUUUUACGAGGAGGCGUAUCUGCAAGACCAGCACCCGGUGGUAUUGUGUCAAGGAGCCGGCCCUGAAGUGUAACGUACGUAUCACAACCGAUUCGUUCGGAACGAUAAUACGGAUAAACAAUGUUCACAAUCUCCACCAGUAGUGGUUGAUACAUUCAAAGGGCGACUGCUGACCACACCUGUGUUGUUGAAGUUGCAAGAAAUAAAUAAUACAACAACGCAGUUACCCAAACUUUUGCUCAAACAGCAUCAAAUUAGGCAAGAAAUCAUAUAACCCAAACUGUUUGCACCAUUUUAUUGCAGAAACGGAGAACUAAUCAUCUCACCAUACAAAAAUCCAGCUCACUACUUUCAAUCUAGUACUUCACUGAUUGCUUCCUAUUGGAAUACGAGGGAUAUCAUUUCUGCAAUCGAAGGACAAAGAAGCACUGCAUCCGUUGGUAUUGCACUAUAUGGCGUAGGAUGAACUGUACAGCACGGGUUACAACAAUCACUUCUAAUGGAGCAGUAUCGCAGUUUUGUGAUGAUCACAACCAUCCACCGACGGCGGAGUGUGUUAAAAUAAGCCACAAGCGCAAGCGCAAAUCUUAGUACUUCUAUCACGAUUGUUAUCUGAUUUACCAUAUGCUCGAAACAGGAUCCUUAAAUCAAAAAUUACCAGUUGAAGGUUCUUGCAUGUGAUAGGUAAUAGCUGUAUUGACGCCAUGUUUUUUUAAAUAUAAGAUCUCCAAUAACCAUAGCUAAAUGUAAAGAAAAAAUUGCUAAAUCAACUGAAGCCCCAGCAUGGGUUGUUCCAGAAGAAAGAGGAGGAUAAACCGUUCAUCCUGUUCCAGCUCCGUUAGAUCUAAAUACUACUUUACAACCUUGAUAAAAGUAGAAAUGAUGCAAAAAAAUCUUGUCUGAAAGAAAAAUAUUAAGUAUUAAAUAUUAAGUAUUAUACAAUUGCUACAAUUAAUUCUUAAUAAUUUCUUUUAUGUUCGUUGAAACCACCUCAUUCUGUAUUUUGAUUUUUGUCGUUAUAUUUCAGUACUCGAAAAUAAACAAAAAAAUAAAUUUGGCAGCUCUGAAAAUAUACUGCCAGCAAAAUGUCAUGGUUUAACAUUAGAAAAUUUGCUAGUUUUGUUCCAUAUUUCUCAACACAAAAUUUAGAUUUUUUAGGUGUCGUUAUGAAUGUAUUUAAUAACUUAAAAGUAAUUUUCAGGGCUGCCAGAAUUUUUUUUAUUUUUGUACAAAAGUGACAUGAAACAAUAUGUAACUGUCGUAUUUUAUUACUAUAUAUGAUCGUAGAUUGGUUUUAUUUAUCUAACGCUCCCAACGUAUUUUUAGACAUUUCAUUCGUCAUGAGCUGCCGCGGGAAAACUCAACUUAGCGUAAACGGUCACCUCUACACUUGUGACAAGACAACCGAUGACGCCAUGUACUGGUGUUGCAAUCAGCGCCGUGUUCUUGGCUGCACAGCUCGUGCUAAUACUGGACGUAGGAAGCAGGGAGAACCGCCAACUAUUAAACUGCGCGGCUUUCACAAUCAUGGAAUCAUUGCAGAACGCCGUCGACCCGGGGAAUAUGCCAGACUGAAGGAACAGUACGAUCGCGAACGGAAAGUGUUGCCAGAUGUAGAGCCUCGUCGCCCUGCCCUUUUCAGAACGAAAAAGAAGCAAAACUGAAUCAAUUUUCUGUACACUAUCUUGAUGUUCUAGUACUACAGUUGUGACUGUGACUAUGUUUCAAGAUGCCCAGAUAUUUCAUUCGUCAUAAGUGCACGUGGUAAAACUCAGCUGAACGUUAACGGAUAUCUCUACACGCGUGGCAAACUUCACGGCGACUUUCAGUACUGGUCAUGUAAUCAAUACAGGGUUUUAAGUUGCACAGCUCGUGCUUCGACAAUCCGCUGCAAACAGGGCGAGAAACCAACCAUAAAACUGCGUGGUUUCCACAACCAUCCGAUUAUAGUGGACCGACGUCGGCCCGGAGAGUGCGCACGGUUGAAAGAGCUGUACGCUCCUGCAGCGAGGCAAGUGUUGCCAGACAGGAGGAAAUGUCAGCAGCUCCCCAAGCAGCAGGUGCCACUGCCACCGAUCGAACAGUGUUUUGUGAAAGAAGAGAAAUAAUGAACGCGCUGUUGGGUGUGUGAAUGGAGGCUCUAAUAGGAUAAG